UAGACCGCCUGGGGAGUACGGCCGCAAGGUUAAAACUCAAAUGAAUUGACGGGGGCCCGCACAAGCGGUGGAGCAUGUGGUUUAAUUCGAUGCAACGCGAAGAACCUUACCUGGUCUUGACAUCCACAGAACUUUCCAGAGAUGGAUUGGUGCCUUCGGGAACUGUGAGACAGGUGCUGCAUGGCUGUCGUCAGCUCGUGUUGUGAAAUGUUGGGUUAAGUCCCGCAACGAGCGCAACCCUUAUCCUUUGUUGCCAGCGAUUAGGUCGGGAACUCAAAGGAGACUGCCAGUGAUAAACUGGAGGAAGGUGGGGAUGACGUCAAGUCAUCAUGGCCCUUACGACCAGGGCUACACACGUGCUACAAUGGCGCAUACAAAGAGAAGCGACCUCGCGAGAGCAAGCGGACCUCAUAAAGUGCGUCGUAGUCCGGAUUGGAGUCUGCAACUCGACUCCAUGAAGUCGGAAUCGCUAGUAAUCGUGGAUCAGAAUGCCACGGUGAAUACGUUCCCGGGCCUUGUACACACCGCCCGUCACACCAUGGGAGUGGGUUGCAAAAGAAGUAGGUAGCUUAACCUUCGGGAGGGCGCUUACCACUUUGUGAUUCAUGACUGGGGUGAAGUCGUAACAAGGUAACCGUAGGGGAACCUGCGGUUGGAUCACCUCCUUACCUGAAAGAAGC
rnacentral:rRNA from 2 species